CGACGCGUGGCCUCGACGUGUCACACGCUGAGCUCGCUUUCUCCUCCUCCCAACUGCAUCGCCCUCAUUCCUACUCCCUCCCAAAACCGAGCAGCUCGAGAGGGAGAGCCUCUGCCUCUCCGCCGCUCAAGUUCUUGCCGCCGGCCGCAAGGAUGACGACCGUCGCCAUCGCCGAUUGAGCCGCGGUUGUCUCGAUCUCUUGUUCGUUCCCUUGUCUCCUCUCAGUGCUGGUUCCAUUCCCCUUAAGUUCAGUCGAUUUCAUGCAGUCGAUGUUCCGGAACACGGACCUUGCUAUUGCUGUUCUGGAGCAAGCCUGGAGCGCCGCCGUGGAUAGCGUCGCCGUUCCCGUCAAUCCGGUGGAUCUCAGGCCGAGGCUUCGCGCCACGAGAAUUGCCAAGAUCCCAGUAGCAAGCCCAUCGAAGGAAUCGAGCUGAGGCGUCGCCAUCGAGGAGAUCGAGCCCUUCUUCUUCAACUCCGGCCGCUGGCCGUGGUCGUCGAUUCCUUGAUCCCGGCCCGGAGUCCGGAUAGUGGUCGUCAUCGUCGCCCUGUCGAUUUCCGCCGCCGCCGGGCCAUUCCUCGCGCUGCCUGGCCACCGUGCCGAGCCAUCGCUGAGCCAAAGCCCAAAAGGCAUUUCCACCCGUUUAGUACAUCGUAAAAGAGGGCAAAAGCACAUUACAUACUGAGAUGUCUUCGCGGGAUUGGGCAUUUGGGCGAGUCACGAAUUUCUGGCGACGGGGCAACGAGCCAACGAAUGCACAUAAACGCGUUGCAUGUGAAAAAGGAAUUGAAAAAGAAUAAUAAUCUAAUGAAUCUCAACCUACUUCCUUUUGAAUGUAAACACUUUUUUGUUUCAGACAAGAAUAAAAACACCUUGUUAAUACUGAGAUGUAUAAUACUGAUAUAAUAGCAACGUUUAGUCAGUCCUCCUCAAAA